rnacentral:lncRNA from 1 species
AAUGAGCAAGAAGUCAAUGACAAAUUAUAAUCUUUAAGGGCACACCAGUUACCUACUUCCUCCAGCCAUAGCAACCUGCCUACAGUUACCACUCAAUAAUCAAUUAAAAUCAUUAAUCCAUCAGAUGGAUUAGUCCUCUGAUCUGGUCACAACUCUCAUAAUCUAAUCAUUUCAACCCUGAACAUUCCUGUAUUGUUUAUCACAUGAGCUUAUUUAGAGACACCUCAUAUCAAACCAUAACAGCAAGAAUAGAUAUGUAUCUUCUCCACAAACAUAUUCAGAUGCUUAGCUGACAGAGUUUCAGGCAGCCAAAGCUCAUGACAUCCAAAAUUGACUUUGAACUGCAUAGUACUUAUGGGACAGGACAUGCAAAGGAGGAGGAAAGGAGUGGAAUGGGAUGGCUGCUUCUGUUCCAUCGGGUAACAUUCACACUCACAUGGCAACAAGUCCCAGAAACAGCUCUGGAAGACAUCAUCCUUAGCUCCUCAGACACUUCUUGGUGACAACUCUACUGCAUGGAAGAGAGCAUCACAGUAACGAGUAUUUCCAUGGUGAAGCCAUCUGGGCCUACAGUUUGCUUUGCAAGACUUGUUUUUCCUUGGUGAUAGAUUCAAUUUCUUUAAUAAGCAUAAAAAUCUCUCACCACCUGCAUGUACAGCUUAGGAAUCAGAAAUGGGAAAUUACAUACACAAUGUUUCACAAACUUUAUGAGGAUCUUAUUCAACACCUUUAUCCAUUAUUCUUGAGUUGGUGACUCUAAACUCCAAUUUUUGUCUUUCUUUCCCAGUGAGGCUGCCACAAGUGUGGGGUGCUGCUGAUUGGCUCGUAUGCCUCACAGUAGAAUUAGAAAAUUAUUUUAAGUAGAAAAAAAAAAUGUAUGGCAAACAGAGGACUCACCACAACAUGUUUUUCUUUUCUUGGAAACAUUUUAUUUAUGUUAUUAGUAGAAAUAUUAGUCCAAUGUAAACUACUCCUUUAUAGCUACAAGCAAUCCCUCAGGGGACUUUGAGCAGAGUAGAAUUAUAUGACUUGAGUUAUAGUUUAGAAUACCACUGUGAAUAUUGGGUAAAAAUAGGGAGCAAGGGUAUAAUUGAAAAGAAUUAGGAGGCUAUGGAAAUCGUCCAGAUAAGAAAAGAGCAUUACGAAGACAUUGGUAGCACUGUGUAUCCCCUAUGUUAGAGGUCAGCCUAGGGAUGAGAAAAUGAUGGUCAGUGACAAAUAUUGUUUAAAUCUCACCUUAUUGUGGCCUGAGUUUAACUUGUUUCUGUAUCUCACUGUAAGUCAAAAAUAGUGAAUAUCAGAUUGCUCUAUAGCCGAACUCUUAAAUAUGUGUAACCAUUUAAUUAAGUUUCCCUACUAUGCAUUUUCAUUUCCAUAUAUGAUUGUAUGAAUAUUUAAGGUAUUAAUGACAUAAAUGAUCAAAAUUGAAUAUCUACAAAUGGUUUGUUUUGCAUUCAGAAAUCCUUUUUCUUCUUGCUCUAGAAAAUGUGUAAUUGAUUUAUUUAUAUAGUACAAAACAAAUCAACUUUUCCUUUAUUUAAAUGGCAGUCCAUUUCUUAUUUGUAAGAUAAACAUGUAUGUUGAUAUAUAAUUUUUGUCAUUUAAGAAGGCAUCAAAAUAAUAUCAUUGAUUAAAUCAUAAUCAAUACCAUUGAUUAUUUGUUAUCUAGAAUUCAAAAACCAUAGGUAUAAAUCAGGUUUUCCUUCAAUAUUUAGCUUUCCAAAAGACAACAUGCAUAGAGAUUGCGCAUAUAUACCCUGAAAUAAAUUUGCUAUGGUUAUAAAAUUGUUAUGGUCUAGAUAUGAAGUAUCUAAAAAAUCUCAUGAGUGAGACAAUGAAAAAUGUUCAGACGUGAAAUGAUUAGAUUAUGAAAGCUUCAACCUAACCACUGGAUUAAUUCACUGAUAUGGAUUAACUGAGUGGUAACUGUAGGCAGGUAAGGUGUGGUUGGGAAAGCUGAGUCAUUGGGGCAUGACUUCAAGAUUUAUAUUUUGUUCCUGCUGAGCAGAGGUCUCUCUCUUCUUCCUGAUUGCCCAUAUUCUAAGCUGCUUUCCUCUGCCACACCCUUCUGCCAUGAUGGUCUGCCUCACUGUGAACCUAGAGCAAAGGAGUCAGCUGUUUAUAAACUAAGACCUUUGAAACCAUGAGCCAAAAUAAACUUUUUCUCCUUUUAAUUUUUCUUGGCAUGUCUUUUGGUUAUAGCAAUGCAAAAGCUGAUUAAAACAAAAGCUUAUGUAUACUUCAUACCAGUGGUAUUAACUUGGUCCUAUAUACCUAUUUUCUAAGUUAAUUGUGAAACUUAAGGAAGAUCAUCAUGAAAAAACCUGAUGGUUAGGGCCAUGCCUACUUUACCAUAAAUUAUUCUCUUUUUUAAAGUUAAUGCAAAAGAGCACUUUAUUUUUGGAGGCAAAAUUUAAGGGAUCUAUAUCUACAGUAUAUAUAAUAAUUAUUAUUAUCCUUUUAAAAUGUAAGCACUCUUUCUCCCUUCCAGCUAUCACAUUGUGGUUAAAUAGUAUAAGGUGAUAUGAAAAAAAUGCUAAGCAAGAGUUUCCUUAUGAAAACAACAGUAAUAGUAAUAAUAACAAUUAUAAAAGUUCAAAUGAAAAUAACUGGCUAACAAAAAAAGUGCUGAAUUUCACUUUUUUUCCUUGUUUCUGCAGUUUUCACAGAAGCAACAACUGUGAAAAUAGCUUUCAUUUUUCCUUUACAAAACUGAAAAUAUAAGUCAUUAAAUAUAAAUCUUAUAUUCUUGAAGUUAAAAUGUACUCUGUCAAGCCAUUGUAUGUUUCCUAAUCAGGCCCAACUGAAGUUGGAUUGUUUGUAUGCCAAAGUAAACUCCAAGUCCAUAAAUAAAUUUGAUUGAUUUGUUUUAACAUCAGCAAUGUGACAUCUCUAUCUUAGCUCAUGUGAUAGGACAUAGCCAUAGAUAUUGUUAGGACUAUUCCCUUAUGGGAUGCUUGCUGUGGUAUAUUGAAGAGAACUAUUAUUAAUUUGUACUCAGUACGUGGAGUUUAGUCAGCAAAAGUAAAACAGCUUUUGUUAAUAAGGAUAAAAUAUGUAUAAUGACUUGUUGAAACAAUUUGGUAAUAUUCAAGAGUGUUUCAUAAGUAGAAAAAAUUAUGUGAAGCAGGAUAUUUUGUUCUUUGUCUGCACACUUUCCAUGAUUUAUUUGCAAAUGCUUUUGAAUGGAUUUUAUGAGAAGUCAUAGUAGAAGAUGCAAAGAUAAUAGCCAUGGCUCCUAUUGUCACGAUAAAAGGCAGAAUGUGAUAAUAAGGAAAACAUAAAUAUGAAAUAUGUUACUUAAAGUAAAAGUUCACCACGGCCAGAGAGAUACAGCAAGUUUGCAAAAUUACAAUAUCAUUUGCUCUGCACUUAGCAGAUAGUUAAGUUACAUUUACACAUUUGAAGAUGGGGGAAAUAUUUUGAAGAAACAAAAAACAUAAAAUUAGAAAUAGAGAAGAGUUAUUAGUAAGAAAAAAAUAUAAAACAAAAUAGAUAUGAGUCUAGAGAAGUUUAGUUGGGUCCAAUAAUAAAAAGUUUUCUUAAUUUUUACUUCUGGGACAACUUGGGAUCAUUGCAAAUUUUUGAGCUACCAAGUUUUGUAUUAAAAUAUUAUUAUAUUUCAGCACAGCAUUAGAUUGAUUGAAAAGGGAAAAUAAUUGAGGUAGAAAGAUCAAUUACAAGCUCAUUAAAAUUGACUAGCUAAACUGAUUUUAGGGCCUGAACUUGAAGUUUAUCUAUCCAACUAAGAUAAACCAAUUUUUGGUUUCUAAUUAAGGAUCCUCCUAAAUUAUUGGCCCUAUAAAAGUUAAAUUCAAAUUUGCUUUGAAAUAUAUACUUGAAAAAAUACUUAGGCCAUGAUCUCCAAGUUCCAGUGGCUGGAUCACAAAGUUAGAGGAACAAAGGAGUGGAAGUUGCAUUGGUGCAGGAGGUUUUAGGUGUCAGCUGCAGGCAAGGUGGUCAUCUGUCCUGUGAGUAGCAGAGUCUGAGAGAGAGAGAGAGAAAUUUGUUUUUCGGAAAUCUAUUGGGGAAUGCCAAAUACAUUGGGGAGCUGGGUGGUCACAGAGACAACUUAACUGAGAAGCCAUUAUCACACCUCAACAAAUCCUAUGAGAAACUCUGGAGAGGAGAUUACUUUUCAGAAUUGUUCUGCACUGGGGCAAAAGAGCCAGCUUUUACACUACCAUCCUCAAGAUUCUGUAAGGAAUCUCCCGUGUGAGAUUCAUCAGAGAACAUGCAUCUGUCAGCAUUCCCAGCUACUAAGAGGAUGAAUGCUACCUCUAGAAGAGGUGAUAAGGCAAUUGGAGCAGCUAUGCACAAUGAAAUAAAGCUAGAAUAGAGUGUGUGUUGGGGGUAUCAUAUGUCACCUGAGUUCUCUAAUAAGAAGUCUCAGCACUAUUGGGUAAAUGAGAAAUAAUUUCCAUUGAAAGACUUACAUCAUCAUUUAGUCAUACAUUUAAUUAAUCAUUUCUCUAUUUUUCAAAUGUUUUCUUCAUUAUUCUAUCAUUAUAUUGUAAUAAAUAUAUUAUCAGGCAUAGUUUUAUAUUGGCAUAUUCCUUAGGAAUUUUUCUUUUGAUGUAUUUCAAUCUCUGUGCUUUAGAGAUACACAUAAAUGCCAAUUCUAUAAUAAUAGAAUCUAUCCAUGUUUGAAAAUCUUUUACUAGAUGAGUGCAUGGCUCCAUUCAUUCAAGUUCAUUCAUGUUCUUAAUCUAACAGGAAUUAAUUUGAUGCCUAGAUGCCUGAAAUGAAACCACUAUCGAUUUCUCAAGAGUUAAAAGAUUUAUGUUAACCUGUCCAUAUCCUAGUUACAGCUUUCUCCAGUAAUGUUAUCCAGUGAAUUAUAUAGCCUUACAAUAAACUCUUCCUUCUGAUCUUAUGAGACACUGAAAUGAUCUGGUUCAUGAUGUUCUUCAUUGGCCAGUGCAAUCUUGUGAGCUGAAUGAGCCAGGGGGGAAUAAGAGGCAGGAACCAUGCAUUUACUACUGCAGGAUCACCUCAUAACUUGUGGUAAGAAAUAACUAUGAAACUGUGCACAAUAACUGAUUAUUUUUGACCUAUCACUGUUAGAUCACUAUUUGUUCUUUACUGGCAACACAUGCAGACAAAAAUAUGGCAGCAUUGUAUGUGGUGACAGAUAGACCACAAAAGGCAAAGGGUCAAUCUUGUUAGAUGUUCCAACUGAUUUCCCUAGGACCCACAACAAAGGGGUGCCUUCAUUGUAAGUAUUCAAGAGAGAAAUAUGUCCAUAUAUGUAUCUAUGCUACUUCUACAUCUAUAUAUCUUUCUCUCUAUAGGGACAUGAUGGAUUUUUUAAUUAAGGGUCUGUCACACUCCAGUCACUUUUAGGUGUAUUAAUUAUUAUAACAACCCUUUGAAGCAAGAGUUAAUGCUGUCAGUUUUCAAUAUACCAUGUUACAUAGAAAUGGCAAAAUUAGGAAUGAAUCACAGAACACCACAGAGACUUCAGUAACAGGUUCUUAAUCCAGGUUACCAGGAAAAUCGCAUUUGGAGCUUAAAAGAAAUUAUAGGUACAAGAACACAUAUCUGGGAUUCUGAUUCCAUUAGUCUAGGAUAGGAUCUUACAGAUGCAUGCUUUUGGAGCUAGGAUAGGAGGAUGUGACACAAAGUUAACUUCCAGAUAUAUUGCUUAUUAUUAUUCUACCUUACUUCUCUUCAUCUUUAUUUCAAAAAGAGAAAGCAGCCAAGUUUCCCAGAUUGCUUAUCACUGAGAGUCCUGUCAGGUAUGUACACUUUUCCUGAAGGUUAUGUAUUCAGGAUGUCUUGUCCAAAAAGACUUUCUGCUCCUGUUUAUUUUGACAUCACAAGAAUCUGUUGUGCUGAUAAAUUUCUAAAAUAUUUUAUGAGUUAUUAAGUAUGCAAUACUAAUAUUACAGGUAAAUAGAAUUUAUUGGCAGGAUAGGAAAAUUGUUGCAUCAAUGGUGUAACUUAGUAAAAUACUUAAGUAAAAAUCUUGUGUAUUUAUUUUUAUAGGAUAUUUUUGCCAUUGCAAAUACUUUUUCCCAUCCUUUAGUUAUUCUACUGACAAAAUUUUACUUAUAUUGACACUAAUGACCAUUUACUUAAUUGAUCUGUAAUUUCUUAAUGAUUUAAAAUAGAAUUGGAGUUCUACAUGUUCCUAAAAAUGUAGAUGUCCAGCCUGGGUCAUCUACAUAAAGGAAAUAAGGAAUGAACUACUAAGUUAUAAGCACUAACCUAUUAAAUUAUCUUAAAUUGAGUAGCUGCUAUGUGUUAGAUAUUAUGCUAGAAUUUAUUUUCUUUUCUUUAUUUAGUCUUCAAAACAAAGUGGAGGUUGAAGAACCAACCUUGUCCUCCACCAUACAAAGGUGAGGUCAGCUAGAGAGUGAGGUCAGUUGCCCAAGAACAUAUUACACAAUAUAUAAAUUGGAGCCAAAGUGAAUGUAAGUCAGCCCUGCCUCAAAGCAUUUGCCUCUAGCUUCUUAUCUAAUGGCUACAAUUUUUAUGAUUAGUGUCAUAGGCAAACAUCACUUUCUUAUUAUUUCUAUAAAUAAAAUUUAUUUAACAGAUAGCAGAGUAGAAAAGCUGUGCAUUAUGAAACAGGACAUCUUAGGUUUAUGUUAUGUUUCUACUAAGAUCUGUCCCUGUUCUAGCUUUGUGCAGUUUCUUCAUCUAACUACAGGGAAAAAAAUACAGGACCUAUACCUUAGUUUGUUGAAAAAUGUAAUGCAAAAAUUUAUGUUAAAAACACUUAACAUAGUCUUUUUUUUCUUAUAGCAGGUGCUUCAUAAAUGCAGUUAUUGUUGUAAGAAUUUUAUUGGAUAAUAAGACCAUAUCAUUUCUGUUCACCUCUCUAUGUUAGUUUAAAAAACCAGGGUAAGUUGGAACUGAUAUUAUUACAUUUUAUAAGCCUUUAUAUGGCAACACAAAAUUAUAUGAGCAUAUUUUUUGUACCACACCUCCAAAUCUAGGGAAUUUAAUUGAGUCUUCUGAAUAAAAUCAUGCAGUAUAUGAGAAGAACUGUGCUUUAGAGAUGAUUGGAGUCAUGCAGGAUAAAUGGUCUGGAUGAACAUAUAUGGAAGGAAAUGGUGACCUUGAGUUAGUGGUUUAUAUCAGGCUAAAUGGAAUAAUCUGGGAAGCAGGAACAUCCAAGUGUCUUAUACACUAUGCAGGGAAGAAUGACAGGUGUUCUGGUAACAUCAUCUAGUAGACCAUUCUUCCCACAGUUAUCAAAUAUCGGACAACUAGUACACCAACCCCUUUUCAGAAGCUAAGUAAUCACAGGAAAUAUAAAAAAUAACAGUAAGCAUCUCUAUCACUACUAGAAAUAUAGUCAAUAUUAUAUUAGAUAGCCAGCAAACUGAAGCAAUUAUGAGGAUCAACAUCAACAACCAUUUCUGAGAAAACAAUAAGGACUAUGAAAAAUUAGAAGAAGUUUUGACAAUUUCAUUUAUACACUGAUCAUUGGCAAAACUAGUUUUAGAAGUAAAGAAGGGCUAUGAGAGUUAUGCGGUCAAUGAUUUGGAAGCUGGCUGAAAUGGGCCAUGCAAGAGCUGACACUGCUAAAUCCAUAAAAGAAAACUUGUGCAAUAUUUCAUGGGUUCAAAACCUCUUCCACUGUGGUAGAUGUCUUUUUACUAAAAUAAAUAACACAAACAACAAAGAGGCCCAGAUAGACACAGUGUACAUAUACCUUAAGUCAAGACAAGAUGAAUAGAAAACUACAUAUGAAAGUCUGACUCUGAGAAAUAGCAAUUGAGCAAGCGAGUAAAUGUCAGAGCAGAAAUUAAAAUAGUGCUAAAAGGAAUAAUUGAUAUCCUUGCAAAAGACACAUUGAGAAAUCACUACAAUUUAGAGGAGUAUCUUAAAAAAUGAAGUCAACAGAUGGGAAUGACUAAAAAAAAUGUCUGUGAGGCUAGAUAAUUAGUUUAUAUCAAGAAUUUACUAUUGAGGAGUUGUGUGAAUCGGGGAUAUACUUAAUCCUCUUUGCCUCAGUUUUCACAUCUGUUAAGUGGAGAUAAAAAUUUCUGACUAUAGGACUAUACAUAAUUUUUAACAGGUUAAUGUAUGCAAAGUACUUAUUCUAUUGUAUACUCUUAUUAAGUUAUUAGAAAAAUUAAUUAUAAGAGUAAUAAAAACAAAGGAAACACAGGUAUUGUAACAGAAGAGAAAAUUAAGGGUAUAGGAAAGAAUCAUGAAAUUAUAAAAUGUUACAUAAAUAACAAUAAUAAGUUUUUAUCAUAUUGGGUUGAAUCAUGAGAGUGAUGGUUUAUAGAUAAUAAAAUGUCAGAUGUCAAAUGUCAGAAACUUCACAUGGAUCAGUAUAAAAAUUUCGUAAUUUUUAUAAAUUCUCUUUUAGAAAAAUAAAUCCAUUAAAAAGUUUAUCUAUACCUAUACCCUGUACAUUUUUAUAUUGUAGUCUUGAGCAUACUUUAUAAAUACUUCAUAUUAAAUCACAAAAAUGAAAUAAUUAUAGUUACAAUUCUUGAAACUUCUUUGUUAGUGAAACAACUCAAAUAAUAUUAUUAAGAUUACAAAGAAGGAAUCCAUUAAUUGCUAUUUCAUUUUAAUUUCAACAGGUAGAUAAUCUUGUUUUUAAUUUCCUUCUUUUAAAAGUAAUUCAGAAGGUGAGAUGGAAGUACUUAAUAUCUAUUCAAUGUGCUUGAAACAGAAAAUAUUUUCUAGAGGUAAUAGCAAUUAUACAUGUAUAAUUAUACAGAAGAGCAAUUUAUUUAAUGAGAUUUCACUAGAGUUAUUUAAUUUGUGAUUAGAUUAUACAAGAGUGGAAAAUAUUUGAGUUGGUAAAAUGACCUAGAAGAUUAAAACCUUUUCUUAUUUUAUUUUGUGUAACUGUGAGUGUUUGUGAAAUAACUUGGAGAUGUGCUUAAUUACAUCUGUUUCUGCUGUGGUAAUAAAUGAUCCUUUUGAAUGUUGUCAUUCAAUUGGAAUGGAAGAUGUAUUGAGAUAUAUUCAUGUUUUAAUAUAAUGGAAGGUUUAUUAAGAAAAUUAGAUUAAUGAUGUCUUUCAUAAUUUUCAAAUAAUAAAAAGUCACUUAGGUGUGUUAAUAUAUUACAUAUUUUACAGAGAUUUAUUUGCGAGUAGCAUAUUUUCAGGAUAAAUGCAAUUUUACUCCAUAAUUUGGCUAAGAAUCCAAAAUUCUAUAGAAAAAAAAGGGACUUUAAAAUUCUAACAAUGUAAUUCAGAGAAAAAAGUUUCCUCAUUGAUCUGAGCACAAAUCUUUUGAAAUCCUAGAAAUGUAUUAAUCAUUUUCACUUCAAUGUAAUAUAAUAGUUUGGUUAAUACCUCACUUUUUGUGUCUUUAGGGGAAAAAUAUCUAAUGGGAACUCCGCCUCUGAUUUCGGCUGAAAUAUUUUUAGGAAAGAUGGUGAAGUAAGAAACUUGUCUUGCUUUAAUGCAAACAAGUGGAGAGCUUGCUGAAAAGACCCAAGUUCCUCUUGAUAGUGAAGAUGGUAAUUGGAACACCUUCCUUAUUCAGGUCUUCAGUGAGAUCCACCAGCUUUUUGAUUCUCAUUGGUCAUGUGCAUUGGCCAGGAUUCAAAACAAUCAAGCCAUGAAAAAAGCAGGACGUCAGUAAUCCAAAUGCAGAGGACCUGCAACUGCAGAGUGUUCUGUUUAGAAGCAAGGACUGGGAUAAAAGGGGUUUGGGCAAUGGCCAAGAAGAACUUGAAGAAUUUCAAGUCUUCUCUUCCUAGCUAAAAUAGUUUGAACAAUUUAGUUAACUCCUCUCUUUCCGUUUGCUUAUUUAUAACACAAAGUCAAUGAUACUUACUCACAAGGUAACUUGAGAUGACUUAAUACACUAAAAUUAUUUUUCAAAGUAUUACUCAUAUUAUAAGAAUGCAAUAGAUCUUAGUAAUUACUGCUAAAUAUACUUCCCUUAUGCCUAUUCUGUUUCUAAUAUAUGAUUCUGAAUGCUAAAUUCAGGGUACAUCUUAAGGGGAGAUUAACAUAGAUUGUUUUUGAUUCUUCCAGAUGAAUUGGAAGUUAUUUCUCAAUAACUUAAUAUCCUGCUACAAACUGAACCCUAAUUUCAUGGUUUAUUUUAUUUUAUUGAGAUUCAUCUACCAGACUUUUCUUAUGGUUACUCACUCCAUAACCGCUCUCCUUUCAUCCAUUUGAGAAUUUAUUUGAUGCCAUUCAGUUGGAUGCUUCUAAUGACACACCUUGAGGCAGAACAGUGGGCAUGUUUGAAUAGGGUCCAUUUCAUGAUUGUUUCUUCUACUAAUUUAUUCACUAUUUUCUCAAAGUAGGAGAAGGGAUUAGAAGGAUGCAAGCUCUUUCAAUAGAUCUUAUAUUGUUCUGAUCUCUGCAAAUCAUAAGAAUUUUUAGAGAUUCAAGUUACAUUAUUUUCAUUUUUAAGUUUCAUAUUGAGAACUACAGUUCCUAAAUCUUGGACAGAAAUAUCACUUGGUGUUUUGUUCCACCAUUGUAGUGAUUACAAGUUGAGUGAUCACACUAUACUUACUCAUGUUGUACUAAGUUCAAAUUAGGUUAUAUGAGUCUAAAUUGCCCUUAUAGUUAAAUAUUAAGAAAACAAAAUAAAGUGAAAAUUAAAGAAAGAGAUUAGCAGGACUGUGGUGAGUGAAGGAAGGACCAGAAUCAAUCACAUAUGAGCCAUAGAAGAGAGAGAAAAAAUGCUAUCAAGACACCAAACUAAGCUUAAGUGGGAGGAAUAGAAAACUAAGUAAAUACAUACUGAAGAGCUUUGGACUUCCCAGUAACAAAUGACCCAAAGUCAUGUAUUGAUAGGAAGAGAAUAAAGGUUCAUUUGGAACUUUGGAACUUGAUAGUAGAUAUGUUUGUCAAACUAGGUCUAGGAAGUUCCACUUAAAAAUUAAUGACACCUGCUUUUUCUAUUAUGCAGUACCCUUUUAGCCCAUUAUUGUAAAAUAUAAAAUUAAAGUAAUGGAAAAAGGUAAACUUAUUCACACUUGGAUGGUGUUUUUUGGCCAUCUACUCACAUAUCGCUCAAAUCUCUGAAGUGAAUUGAUCCAUCUCAAAUGAAGAAUAUAUCAAAAUAAAUAACUGUAUACCAAGUUCCUUUGUUUGUACUUCAUCUUUCCUCUCUUUUUCUCUUUCUCUUCCUAGUAUUCGCUCUCCUUUUCUUUUCCUUUAUGGGGCUGCAACUUUAGUAUGAAAGUUUGAGAAUGAGAGUGACUGCAAAUUAGAAGGCAUUUUUAUGGUUUCGGAAAACUAAGACACAAGGAAGGUAAUCAGGGGAAAGAAAGCAAAAUGCUGGUCUUUCUAGUAAGGAAGGAAGUUCCUCAGGUAUCCAAACUAUCUCCCCAUGGGAACAAGUGGACAGGAUUUCACAAAGGAAGCAUUCCUAAAUAAUAUGUCAUGUACCCAUUUAUUAUUUUUUUAAAUUUAUACAAAAAAUAUAGAGUAUGAUCAAGAGGAAUUCCUUGUGAUAAUGUUCAUACAUGCACAUGGCAUUGUUUGCUUAAUUUCGUUCUGCUGUUCCUCCCCUUUCCCAUUCCUUCUCCCUCUACAUCAUUUCCCUUCUACUUCACUGUUCUCAUUCCAUUUUCAUGAGCUCCUCCCCCCAUUUUUAAUUCAUUAUUUCUCCUUAGCUUUUGCAUAUAAGAGAAAACAUUUAACCCUUCACUCUCUGAGUCUGGCUUAUUUCAGUUAGCAUGAUGUUCUCCAAUUCCAUGCAAUCCAUUUACCAGCCAAUGACAUAAUUUCACUCUUCUUUUGAUCAAAUAAAAUUGUGUGCAUACACCAUAUUUUAUUUAUUCAAUAGUAUAU